GGGCGAGUGGCGAAAUUGGCAGACGCGCACGGUUUAGGACCGUGUUCCCGCAAGGGAUUGGAGGUUCAAAUCCUCUCUCGCCCA
rnacentral:tRNA from 1 species